AAAAAGUCUUGGUCUCGGGUUCACUCAGAGAGGACAGCCAUGCCCAACUUAUUCUCAAUAGAAAACUGAAACAGAGAGAGAAUGAGAAACACAUCCAUCUUCUUUCUACCCACCUACCAUAUGUGGACUUCUUGCAUUGGUGAGUGUGAAAGAAGGAAGCAGAAAGCCUUGAUGAUGGUCAUAUUUUCAUUCAUCCAUAAUGCAGCCUUUGCGCAAGUUGAAAGACCGUUGAGAACAGGAAUGUUAUCUCACCCUUCACAGCCCAAACAAAGCCUAGCACUGGAUCUUGCCAGAGGUGCCCCCUAGUAUGUAGUUGUAUAUUCUAGAUGUAGGUCCUUCUGGUUGUGCUGUGUGGGACAUAGCCUCAGCAUGAGGAACACUGCCAUCUCUGCGCCCAGGACCCAGAAUCCGAAUCAGUGAAACCCUGGGCCACCAAAGCAGAACUCGCAAACUUAACCACUGGGCCACAGGGCCACCUCGCCUACAAACACAAGGACAAAAAAAAUACAUUGGGCAACUGAUCAAAGAAGAAAAAUGCUGGAUCCUUGAUGACGUCUUUAAGCCACUGUUAUCUCAUGCAGGCGGCCCCUCCUCCAGAAUACCAGUUUGUAGAACCAUAAAUUCCUUAUUGUGUUUGUUAGUUUGAGAUAGAUUUUCACUUACAUUCAACUGAAAGCAUCUCAUUUGUAUAGCUGGGAUUUCUACCCAAGCUGAUGGCUGUAGAAUGGUCACGGAGGUCAAGCUCAAAUUUUGGCUGUGUUAUUUUAGGAUGUAUGAUCUUAAAAAAAAUGAUUUAACUUGUCUGAGUUUUAGCUUUAUUGUCUAUAAAAGUACGCUUACUCUGGGUUAUUGUUGGACUUAAAAUAUUGUAAAUAUUAUAUGGAAAACACCUUGGAUGGCACCAGUUGCAUAAAAAAUGGAUAUCAUAUUUAAUGAGAAACAAGCAAUUUUAUCUGCAUUAAUCCGUUCAAUUAAGUCCAUCUGAUUCCAGGUACUUCAAUUGUUCUGGCAUUCCUAUUGGCACUACAAAACCAUAUUUGGUUAUAUUUUUCCUUUGCUAGUAUUUUUGAAGACUAAGCUUGCUUUUCCUCCUCUAAAACUCUGUUCUUUUUGAGAGGAACUUAGUCUUCCCUGUACUGUAAGUGCUCAUGGCACUCAAAACAAUGUUUUUUAUAGAGCAGGGACUUGAUAAAUCAUUGUUUCUUCUAUACAUAAACAUAUCAUG
rnacentral:lncRNA from 1 species